rnacentral:lncRNA from 13 species
GACGGCUCCUGCAAAAAGGACAAUAUUGAGAGCAAGGAUACAGUUACUGCCCCUCAUUGAAAGAACUGACAUUGAAAACUCACAUUAUAUCAUUAUAUUACAUUAUCAAUUAUAUAAAUGUCAGUUAAAGAAAGUUCAAGUGUGAACUAAAAAUGUAAAUACAUUAAACUAUUUCAUAUAGAGAGGCAUUCACUGAAAUACACAGCAAUGCAAAUAAUCUAUAUAUUUUCUAGAUAGGUCUACAGUACUUCGGUCAGUGCUAUCUGGGAUCCUUGGGACGUCCCUACCCUAAACCCUAAACCCUAACCUUAGCCCCUACCCUAAUCCUAACCAUAACCCUUACCUAACCCUAAUUUUAAAGCUAACCUUAACCAUUUUAAAUGUAUACUUCAAUGGGGUAAGGACGUACCAAGGAUCCCGGAUAUUUUUUUCUCUCUAUUGCGGCAAAUUAGUCUUGAUUAGCGCCAGUGACUGACAGCGGCACUGCUAAUGCUGGUGAUGCACAGGCACAGUGCAGCAGUUACCAGAAACAGCUCCCUGGCAAGUAAUGUCGAAUUCCAGCCUCCUCUGGUGGAGUUAAGACCUGCCAUGGUGAACUGACAGUAAGAGAGGAGCUGAAAGAAACCAGCCAGCACUACUCUGCCCUGGGUGAGAGGUUUGAUUUGGGCCGGGGGAAUUGGUGGCCCAGCAGGUCUGCCUGGUCUGCUUGCCUGCCUGCGUAUCCAUCGAUGGAAGUGUCUCUCACCUCAGGCCAGCUAGCGGUUCCUCCUGCCUCCUCCUUUUCGACCUACCGACCGUCAGUCCGCUGAAUGGUAAUUCCCCCUGAUAACCUUGUGGGAGCUGGGAAGGCGGAGUAGGGAGAGAAGGGGGAGAGGGGAGGAAGAGCGAGAAAGGCUCCCGCUCCGUUGGUCUGAGCUUGGUGAGGUGAUCGGUGUGUGGACAGGAGCCAGGCCAAUCUAGCCAUCAAGUGGGCCGUCAGCCGCCCAGCCAACGGGAGACACACUGCUAAUGCACGGCAUCGGUCACCAAGCUGCUGAAACAGCCAUGGGUUGUAAUUAUAUCUCAGAGCAGUGGCCAGGGCAGGGGGCACAGAGGGCAG